rnacentral:rRNA from 1 species
AUUGAACGCUGGCGGCAGGCCUAACACAUGCAAGUAGAACGAGUGGCGGACGGGUGAGUAAUGUCUGGGAAACUGCCUGAUGGAGGGGGAUAACUACUGGAAACGGUAGCUAAUACCGCAUACCAUCAGCUGUGCCCAGCGGGGCUUAGCUAGUUGGUGGGGUAACGGCUCACCAAGGCGACGAUCCCUAGCUGGUCUGAGCUGAUGACCAGCCACACGUGAACUGGGACAUGGUCCAGACUCCUACGGGAGGCAGCAGUGGGGAAUAUUGCACAAUGGGCUCAAGCCUGAUGCAGCCAUGCCGCGUGUAGUAAUAAGGCCUUCGGGGUGUAAAGUACUUUCAGCGGGGAGGCGUUACCCGCAGAAGAAGCACCGGCUAACUCCGUGCCAGCAGCCGCGGUAAUAC